GGAGCUCAAGAGGGCAACGACUCUUGGAACUACGACACCUGUGUUGCAAGGAACCAACAGAGAAUGAAGUAAAAAGGGCUUUUUUUUGUGGAUGUAGUCCGUGGGGCAAGUGACUUGCACAUCAGUACCCAAUCUCUAUUUGCCAGACACACAGAGUAGCUCCCAAUCAAGACAUGAGAACUUCUGCAGGGAAUUACGUAACGUCCAUUAGCCCUUUAAAAAAUAAGACAUUAACGGUGCCUGCUGUUAAAAGAAGUCCGGUCCUCUACGAAGUUCAUCCUUCUGAACAAUUGCAUGGAAGAUGUUCUAGGAAAUUACAUUUAUUUGCACAGCACAAAGAAGCAGGAAAAUGGACCUUCUCUUGACCUUAAUUCCUAUCAAACCAUGGGCAAAACACCCAUGAUAAUGGAUGCACAAUCUUUAAGACGGACAACGUGACAGUUGCUCCCUGUAAUUGGACUCCUUCAACAGUUAUUAAAACAAAACUUUUCCACGGAUUCCUAUGAUGGCUUUUUUCCUACACCUACAAGCUUUCAAAGCUAUGGAAAGUAUCACUCCAUGACAAAGCGAGAGGGGUAUCUCCUUUUAUCAGAAUGAUGUAAUUAGUACAUUUUUAGAAAUGCUCAACUUUUAAAUUGCAAAAGUUAAAGCUUUGUAACACGAGAGGUCUCAUUUUGCUGUUUAUAUGCAGAUAAGCCUCUUUGACGUACUACAGCAGAAGAAAAGGCUUUUCCUUUGACUGAUUAAAUAUACAGAAUAAGACCAUAUACAUUAGAGUAUAAAAAAAGCUUUUCAUAGAUAAUCACAACCUCUUUCACAGUUUGAAUUAAUUUGGUAGACUUUAGAAGUAUCUAUGUCCAGAUCUAAUAUAAACUGUGGAAUUGGAUGGAAAAUACACAUGGGUAAAACAUGUAUUUUUCCAGUAUGCCUCAGGCUAAUUUUCAAUAUAUUGUACAAAUACUAAUUGCUUUCUUUAGAGAGUUAAUGUUUGAAUCUCUCUUAUGAUCUCUAGCACACAGAAAAAACACAUUGGUUUACUUUAGUUAAAGAGAACUUUUAUGUUUGUGCAAAUGAUCUUCCUAAAUAGCUUUGAAAUUGAAGGUACAGAGGAAGUUAAUCAAACGAAUCCAGCAGCUUAUGGAAUUUCACAUUUGGGCUUUUGGUUUUUAGCAUGAGAGCCUCAUGUAGAAAAGCUGCCCAAGAUUCUCACUGGUCUUAUCUCAUAAAUUACUUUUAGUCUCUACACGAAAUUAAUCUCACAGAAAUUUAUUCCCAAACUAUGGGAAUAUGGGCAGCAUAAGUAAGCAAACAGAAGACAACUGCUAGCAUGCAGGGCAGAGCACUCCCUGGGAUGUCCUAGAAGAAAGAGAAGGGGAAGGGAAAGUAGUCAAAUUGCUUCCAGAAACACAGUGAGAGAAAAACAUUAUUGUUACAAAUUGGAUUCAGGAAGACAACACAAUGCAUCUGCUCAGACUACUGGCAAGGACAAAACACGACAAAGCUGUCACAAUUAUUAAAUAAUCUAUGUGCAGAAAAGCACUGUGCUGAGAACCAACCACUUUCCAACUCAACUAAAGAAGAAUUUUGGGUAGAAGAUAAGUCUCGAGAUAGCAGCCAGCCACGACUGCCGAUAACCUUCCAGAAGACACGAGAGCGCUGCCGCCUGCCAAAUGCAAGGACACCUCGACUUCCCUACGUCUACUGCUUCAAUUUUGUGCCACUGACAGCCCAGCACACCUUGGAUACACCUUCCAGCCUGGAUGUCUAUCCAAGGAUCACCUACGUUCUUCUACGUGCUCCACAAGGAAGGCUGAACAGAAGUUACAGCCCAUGAUUAAGGCCUGCAGGAAUCGAGUUAAGUGAUAACCGCCAAAGGUAUCAUUUCUGCGCUCACUGCCCUAUACAUAAAAUACAGAUAACAGGUGCUUCCUCAAUAAAGAAGAAGAACCGUACUCUAAGAAGUUCCCUUAAAGAUAUUUAAAGCCUUGCUGACACACUUGGCACUCGGGUGAUUAGCUGUAAUAUUUCACAAUGCCAUACACACAACAGCAGUGACUUGAAAAUACCAUGCACUUAGGUUUAAGGCAAGCUCACACUGCCUUUCCAAGGCUCACAUUUGGAAACUCCGAACUUCUCUUCUCAGGUCAAUUCAGCAGCGAGUGUAACGCCACAUAUGGCCCACAGGUGAGCAGAGGAACCCAGCGCCCCGGAGAGGCUCCCUGGAACCGCUGGCAGCUGCAUGGACCGAGCAGAAAUCUGACAUAAGCUCACUCUCGUGGGAGAAGAGCCUUUUUAUGGAUGGAGGUUUUAUAUGGAUAUAUAAAAAAAAUAUAUGGCAAUGGAUGGAGGUUUUAUAUAUGCCCUAUAGAGCAUAUAGUGAAGUCAGAAUAAUAACUUUUUGUCCAGUUAUAACACAUACAAUUAUUUAAAGGGAAAUGUAAAAGUGUUUAUUUUUAUUGGGGUUAUUCAGAAAGUCUUCCGUUUCUCUCAGGAGCAUUUAAAACAAAUUCACCUUUUAAAAGAUUUUGAAUGUCUGCUUUGUCAACACCUGCGUGCCCAGAAAGCCACUGCCUUGCGGGACUCUUUGGUGUUCAAUGUAAGAUAAGAGGAAAUAUUUCAAGUGCGUGUGUUGCUGAUUUUCCUCAUCUGGAAAAAAUAUCCAAAGUUUAAAUUCUAAAUACAUUUUCAAAGACUUGACCGUAAUGGCUGUAGUUAAAAUCUUAUACACGCUUAUCUGUGGCACAAUUAUCUCAAGAUGGAGACAUAAGAGAGCAUCAUAGCCUUUAUUUUUAACUGUGUUUUUCUUGUAUUAUGGAUGAUUCUGUUUAUCUCCCAACUACAAUUCCUGGAGAAAGUUAAUAUGUUUAUAUAAUAUUCUCAAAUCCAGUUUGCCAGCUAAUUAAAUUAUGACUCAGAUAAAAGUUUUCUUUAUUUUCCUGGAAGGAAAGAAAAGACACUAAUGGAGUUCUUUUGCCAGAAGAAAACUUUUUAAAAUUGUCAACAGGUUUUAGAAUCAGUGCCACAUUUUUGGUUGAAAAUCCUGGCACCAUUUCUCAAUCUGUGGUUUAAGAACAAUUUUUAAUAUAUUCUUCCAUCUGGUUUAGAUGCAGCAUAAUGACUAAAGACUUGUGAAAAGACGAGGGGAGGAAGCUUUUUUAUUGUUUUUUUUUUUUAAAUGUAGGAAUCACACAUGCAGGAUAAAAUAAAUAUACUUUUUAGUAUCCUAUUUUUUUCUAAUGUCCAAUAUAAGGACAGAUUGUAUCAGAUUAUAUCUGCACAGCAACCUACCCAGGUCACAGAAUUUUCUUAAAAAGUAUUUAUAAAGCAAAAGGAAAAGGCUUUUGUGCCUCAAAGCAAAGUUCUGAUUAAAUCUGCAUAAACUGUUUAUCACAGCAUUUCUUUUAUUAUAUGUACCUUUCAUCACUUGCCAUUAUUUAUAACAUUCUAUACUAUGUUUGCAUCCUGAAGCUUCAGCCAAGCUCGAAAUCCCCUUCCUCCCCCACUACAGGCACUGUUCAAACACCACACGAGAUGUACUCUUGAAGAGCUCAGAGUACAAACAGGUGUGACAAAUGAUAAAGGGGAAAGGAAAGUUGACCCAGAUAAUUGCAACAAUGCCUCAAAAUCAUAGAGCUCGUAUCUCUUAUAUAUCUCACUGUGAUUCAACUUAGCAACUUUUCAUGGACACCGAUCUACGUGGAAACGCCAAGAGCAUUGCUCUGGGGGAAA